rnacentral:rRNA from 1 species
AACGAACGCUGGCGGCAUGCCUAACACAUGCAAGUCGAACGAGACCUUCGGGUCUAGUGGCGCACGGGUGCGUACCGCGUGGGAACCUGCCCUUAGGUUCGGAAUAACUCCCCGAAAGGGGUGCUAAUACCGGAUAAUGUCUUCGGACCAAAGAUUUAUCGCCUUUGGAUGGGCCCGCGUGGGAUUAGCUAGUUGGUAGGGUAAAAGCCUACCAAGGCGACGAUCCAUAGCUGGUCUGAGAGGAUGAUCAGCCACACUGGGACUGAGACACGGCCCAGACUCCUACGGGAGGCAGCAGUGGGGAAUAUUGGACAAUGGGCGAAAGCCUGAUCCAGCAAUGCCGCGUGAGUGAUGAAGGCCUUAGGGUUGUAAAGCUCUUUUACCCGGGAUGAUAAUGACAGUACCGGGAGAAUAAGCUCCGGCUAACUCCGUG